AAUGAGUGCGGUGACGGAAACCCGGUUGUUGUAAUUUUGUUGUGGUUGCUGCUGGAUAUUCUUACUGUCACGGUUGCUGCAGGAUAUUCUAGCUGUGACCUCGCUUCCAUCUGAUACAUAAUUGGAUAAAUCCGGAUGUUCAACUACAUAACUUGACUUCAACAUAUUGCAUCCAAAUUCCACAAGAAUAUCCUGUACUGCAUUCGAGAGAUUGCUUCCAUUUAUCAUUUUCAAUUGUUUGGAAGGUCUUGAAAGAAAUCCAGACGCGGAUGGUAAAAUUGGCCGAUCCCUAAAUAGUUGCAAUGUUCUGUCUGUUACUGCAAUCCACAUUCAAUUCUGAUAGCUUCCAACAGUUCAGGAGACACACUUGGCUUUCUUUUUCCAGCAAUCGAAAGCCUGCUUUUUUACUUCCUAUCACACACAUACGAAAAGAGUUUGGCAUGAACGCUCUCGCUUGCAACUGCUGGAUAAUUAAACAAACUGCUUUUGGAACGGGGAACAAUGACGGCUGCGCAUCGGUGUUUGAAUGGAUCUUAUUUUUGGUUAUUCUUUUUUGUAAAAAUGAUCACAAAUAUUCGGAAUUCUCUUGAUCAUAUGCUCUUGUGUAGACCGUGCAAUAAUUUUAACUCUAUUCAUUUCGUUAACAAAUUACAUCUUUUCCAACCAAAUGAAAAACACUGUGUUGAAGUGUAA